rnacentral:rRNA from 1 species
UACGAAGGGGGCUAGCGUUGCUCGGAAUCACUGGGCGUAAAGCGCACGUAGGCGGCUUUUUAAGUCAGAGGUGAAAUCCUGGAGCUCAACUCCAGAACUGCCUUUGAUACUGGAGAGCUUGAGUCCGGGAGAGGUGAGUGGAACUGCGAGUGUAGAGGUGAAAUUCGUAGAUAUUCGCAAGAACACCAGUGGCGAAGGCGGCUCACUGGCCCGGUACUGGACGCUGAC